rnacentral:hammerhead_ribozyme from 1 species
ACACUGCUGACGAGUCCCAAACAGGAUGAAACAGGCGUCCAGUGC